rnacentral:rRNA from 2 species
GGGUUGUGAGGUUAAGCGACUAAGCGUACACGGUGGAUGCCCUGGCAGUCAGAGGCGAUGAAGGACGUGCUAAUCUGCGAAAAGCGUCGGUAAGGUGAUAUGAACCGUUAUAACCGGCGAUGUCCGAAUGGGGAAACCCAGUGCAAUUCGUUGCACUAUCGUUAACUGAAUACAUAGGUUAACGAGGCGAACCGGGGGAACUGAAA